rnacentral:rRNA from 1 species
GACGAACGCUGGCGGCGUGCUUAACACAUGCAAGUCGAACGAAGUGGCGAACGGGUGAGUAACGCGUAAUCAACCUGCCCUUCAGAGGGGGACAACAGUUGGAAACGACUGCUAAUACAGCAUACUACAGGAGGGGAGUGAGGCUUAUUAGCUAGUUGGAGGGGGAACGGCCCACCAAGGAGAUGAUCAGUAGCCGGUCUGAGAGGAUGAACGGCCACAUUGGGACUGAGACACGGCCCAGACUCCUACGGGAGGCAGCAGUGGGGAAUCUUCCGCAAUGGACGAAAGUCUGACGGAGCAACGCCGCGUGAGUGAUGACGGCCUUCGGGUUGUAAAGCUCUGUUAAUCGGGACGCGGUACCGGAAUAGAAAGCCACGGCUAACUACGUGCCAGCAGCCGCGGUAAUUC